UUUAGCAAAUAUCAGAAUCACCUGGCGGUCUUGAUGAAACACAAGCUGCUGAGCUUUACUCCAGAAUUUCUGGUUCAGUAGGUCUGCAGUAGGACCUGAAAUUUUAUAUUUCUAACAAGUUUUCAGGAGCUGCUGAUGCCGCUAGUACAGGGCUCACAUUUUGAGAACCUCUGGUCUAGCAAGUUGCCACCAAGAAUGAAGAUUGGGCCAGAGAACAGGAGGAAAUUUGUUUUGCAACAGAAAACAUAAGAAAUUUUCCCUGCUUGGAAGAUACUCAUACAUACCAGAAACAAGUCAACAUUUUGAUUUCAAACAUCAAAAAAGGUGUCCAGAAAUCUCAAGAAUUUGAGACAUCCUAAGGAACUUUAAGUGCUGUGAGCCACAAGUAACAUCAAGAAAAGACAGGGAUGAAGAACCGCACUUACAAGCUAAGUAAGAUUAAACCCAGCAUGGAGAUAUAUGAAUUAAUAUGAACUCUGAGAAAGAAAUUGGUCAGCUAAAAAAUAUAUGGCUUUCCUGAAUAGACAAAAGAACAAAGAUUUUCCCUUUGGUGUAAGCUCAUCCUACACAUGUCAUUUGGACCAGACCAAGGCUGCUGUCAUGGAGGACCCACACCACAGCUUGGGAACCAUUCAUCUACCAGAGGGUCACAUGACUUCAAAUGACUCUUCUAGGGGCCACCUGCCAUGAUAGGGUACCAGCUCUUCCUCUGAAUUCCCAAUCCAUUUCUUGAGAACUACUGUUUCUAAUAAGAGUUUUUGUUCCAUGUGAGAUACCCACGCCACUUUAAAAAACAAACUAUCCUGACAUCUAAUUACUUUGUGAAUGAUUGUAAUGGCAAUAACAAUAGAGAUGGAAGAAUUUUGGAAACAAUACUAGUUUCACAGCUUUCAUGUGAGAUGCCAAGGUUUUAGCAUCGUCAGAUUGGCAAUGAGAUUGGAUAACUUCUGGGGUCUUUUUGAAAUUAUAUCUUUCUUUUCUCUAGGAUCCUACUUCUGGAAAAUAAGAUUAAUACUAAUACUAAUAAGACACAAAGAUUUUUAAUGGAAAUAGGAAUAUCUUCAAAGGCUGGAUGGACAUUGCAUGCACUGUAUGACAACAUUCGUGUAUAAUAAGAUCCUUUCCUUAGAGAAUGGGGCAAAUCCAGAUGGAAUGUGAGAAAGACUUCAAGGUUUCAGUGGAAUAUGCUUAUAUUGGGAAUUGUAUUAGUUAAGACUAGGUUUGGCUGCACAUGACAGAAAACCCAACAUAGUCACUUACACAGGAUUAAAACAUUUCCUUGUCAUAUGAAAGUCUAGAAGUGGUAUGUAGCUCUGGGUGUCAGGGAUGAAGAUUCCUUCUAACUGGGAACCCAGCUUCCCAUUUCAAAGAUUGCUUCAUAUUCAAAAUGGCUGCUGGGUCUCCAGGUAUAGAGUCCACCUUCCAGCUAGAAGAACAAAGAACCAAAAUGAGGCGUGUUCUCCCCUGUAAGGAUACUUUCGUAAGUUGAAUAGGAUGCUUUCAUAAGCAUCUCAUUGGCCAGACUGGUUAGAACUUAGUAACUGGCCACAAUCAGCUGGAAAGAAGGCUGGCAAAUAGAAUAUUUAAGGUGGUCACUGUAAUCAGCAAAAAAAUCAUGAGUUACAUAAUAUAUAGAAAAGGAGAACAAGCACAGAAUGACAACUAGCAGUGUCUGCAUAUCAUUCUUCCAAGCAAAUAAAUGGAA
rnacentral:lncRNA from 10 species